GUGUUCACUUGGGCAGCACAUAUACUAAAAUUGGAACCAUACAGAGAAGAUUAGCAUGGCCCCUGCGCAAGGAUGAUACAAUUUUAAAUUAAAAAAUAAAUAAAUAA
rnacentral:snRNA from 1 species